rnacentral:rRNA from 1 species
CAGCCCUUGACAUCCCGGUCGCGGUUUCCAGAGAUGGAUACCUUCAGUUCGGCUGGACCGGUGACAGGUGCGGCAUGGCUGUCGUCAGCUCGUGUCGUGGGAUGUUGGGUUAAGUCCCGCAACGAGCGCAACCCUCGCCCUUAGUUGCCAGCAUUCAGUUGGGCACUCUAAGGGGACUGCCGGUGAUAAGCCGAGAGGAAGGUGGGGAUGACGUCAAGUCCUCAUGGCCCUUACGGGCUGGGCUACACACGUGCUACAAUGGUGGUGACAGUGGGCAGCGAGACCGCGAGGUCGAGCUAAUCUCCAAAAGCCAUCUCAGUUCGGAUUGCACUCUGCAACUCGAGUGCAUGAAGUUGGAAUCGCUAGUAAUCGCGGAUCAGCAUGCCGCGGUGAAUACGUUCCC